GGCCGUCCCCUUCCCGGACAGCCCCCGGGGAAGUCCCCGCUCCAGGCGCCCCCAGCAGCGGGUCGCUUUGAUGGCUGUGGGUCCAGGGAGGGCCCCUGGAGCCCCGCCAGGUCCCCGUCCCCAUGACGUGGCCGAUGCAUUUCCCGUCUCGGCCGAUGUCCUUGAGCCGAUCUGCCCAGAGAGCAGCGGCCCGGGGGCAGCUGCCUGGGGGUCACGUCCAGCCCUGGCAGGGACGGCCGAGCCCAACCGUGUCCCGUGGGACCACCUGCGGGGGACAUCGGGCUGGGGACAGUUUGGGCCAUCCCUGGAGGGGUCCAGCCAGCAGGGAGGGAUGGGACACACACGGGACAAAGGCAAACACCCGCAGCAGGGACCCUGCAGCUCCCAGCCCCGCACCCGGCGGGGCAGAGCCCAGGGGUCGCAGUGCUCCCCCUCUCCUCCUGCCCCCCACCAUGAUCCCAUCCCAGCCCCCUGCUCCCAUCUGCUGGGCCCUGCUUUGGGAACUCGCUGCUUUGUGUGCCCGCAGGAUGCCCCCUGCCCUGCCCGCCCCAUUCCCAACCUUGCCCAGCACCCAUGGGAGCGGUGAGCUGGGGCAGGACCCGGGCAGCAGCAGGACCCCUCUGCGUCCCCCCGUGCUGUCGGUGACGCCUUUUCCUCACUGCCCUCAGAAGUGGCGAGGGCAGGAAGCGGCAGAGGCCGGGCAAGGCGCUGUGCAUCCCUGGCGAAACGCCGGCCCAGGGGCUCCCACGGCGCCAGAAACCCCAUUAGUGCCCGCGCCAGGGCUGCCAGCGCAGCCUGCAGCAGCCCAUUUAGGAGCCGGCUCCUCUCCUCCGGGAUUUUGUCCCAGGAUCUCCCCGCUGGGGCUCCUGCUGGCUCCAGCACCCCCUAAAGCGGGGCCGGGGCGCGGACUCAGGGUGUCUCCUCCACAGGCGCCUCCUCGUGCGACGGCCGCCCCGGAUGGGGGGAGAUGGCCCCAAGUGAGGAGCCUCUGCCCCGCUCGUGAGUCCCUUCCCAGCCACGUGGGAUCGGAGCCGGCGCUGGGAGCUGGGGGCAGGACGUGCUAUGGAGCUGAGCCUGGGGGGUGCCUGAAGCCAGCAGAAGGAUGAGGAUGGGGUGGGGGGACGCGGAGUUCCCCAAUGGGAGCCUGGCUGCCCGGCCGGACACCUGCUUCGGGGUGGUGAACUUCAGCACCAGCCUCAACGAGACGCAGAGGAAAGCCAUCGCCUCGCCCUGGUUCUCCACCGCCUUCGGCCUCAUCGGGCUCUGCUCCAACCUCUUCGCCCUCUACGUCCUGCUCAGCUCCUCCCGCAAGCUCACCAGCCGCUCCCGCUCCUCCUUCCUCGUCUUCCUCUGCGGGCUGGUGGUCACGGACUUCAUGGGGCUGCUGGUGACGGCCUCGGUCAUCAUCCCCUACCACUUCAUCAAGUUCGACUGGGCCGAGGUGGACCCCGGCUGCCACCUCUGCAACUUCCUCGGCUUCUCCAUGGUUUUCUUCGGGCAGUGCCCGCUGCUGCUGGGGGCCACCAUGGCCGGCGAGAGGUUCUUCGGCAUCAACCACCCCUUCUCCCGCUCCACCAGCAUCUCUAAGCGCCGCGCCUGGUCCAUCGUGGGGAUGGUUUGGGGCUUCUCCUGCCUGCUGGGGCUGCUGCCGGUGCUGGGGCUGGGCCGCUACACGCUGCAGUACCCCGGCUCCUGGUGCUUCCUCACCCUCCUGCCCGACACCGGCAACGCCGUUUUCUGCCUGCUCUUCGCCCUGCUGGGCAUCUUCUCCGUGGUGCUCUCCUUCAUCUUCAACACGGUCAGCGUGGUCACGCUCUGCCGCGUCUACCACGACCGCGAGUCCGUGCAGCGGCGGCGGGACAGCGAGGUGGAGAUGAUGGUGCAGCUGGUGGGCAUCAUGAUCAUCGCCACCAUCUGCUGGAUGCCGCUGCUGGUGAGGCCCUGGCUGGU
rnacentral:lncRNA from 1 species